rnacentral:rRNA from 1 species
AUACGUACUGUGCGAACGUUAUUCGGAAUCACUGGGCUUAAAGGGUGCGUAGGCGGCCAGAUAAGUAGGAUGUGAAAUCCCCCGGCUUAACCGGGGAACUGCGUUCUAAACUGUUUGGCUUGAGUAAGAUAGGGGUGUGCGGAACUUCCGGUGGAGCGGUGAAAUGUGUUGAGAUCGGAAGGAACACCAGUAGCGAAGGCGGCACACUGGGUCUUAACUGACGCUGAGGCACGAAAGCUAGGGUAGCGAACGGGAUUAGAAACCCCGGUAGUCC